CCCGAGUUGUAAUUUGUAGAGGAUGUUUCGGGUACCGCAACGACUUAAAUUUCUUGGAACAGAAUGUCAGAGAGGGUGAGAGUCCCGUCUGGAGUCGCGGUAGGGCCCAUGUGAAACUCCCUCGACGAGUCGAGUUGUUUGGGAAUGCAGCUCAAAAUGGGUGGUAAAUUUCAUCUAAAGCUAAAUAUUGGCCAGAGACCGAUAGCGCACAAGUAGAGUGAUCGAAAGAUGAAAAGCACUUUGAAAAGAGAGUUAAACAGUAUGUGAAAUUGUUGAAAGGGAAGCGCUGGCAACCAGACUUGCGUGCGGGGGUUCCCCCUGGCUUCUGCCUGGGUUACUCCCCCGUAUCCAGGCCAACAUCGGUUUGGGUGGUCGGUUAAAGGCCUUGGGAAUGUAUCUUCCUCCGGGAAGACUUAUAGCCCUCGGUGUCAUGCGGCCUACCCGGACCGAGGAACGCGCUUCGGCUCGGAUGUUGGCGUAAUGGUUGUCAGCGACCCGUCUUGAAACACGGACCA
rnacentral:rRNA from 1 species